rnacentral:snRNA from 1 species
AUACUUAGAUGGUGCCGGGGCCUCGUUGACCACCGAGUACGAGCACCUAGGGCGAGGCGCUGGCAUUCAACUGCGCUGGAGUUGACCCCUUCUAUUACCCCAAACUUGGGCAGAUUGGGCAUGCAAAUUGCUUAAACCCGGUUAAACGCAAAAGAGGGCGCCACCGCC